rnacentral:rRNA from 1 species
GACAGAGGGUGCAAACGUUGUUCGGAAUUACUGGGCGUAAAGCGUGUGUAGGCGGUCUCAUAAGUCGGGUGUGAAAGCCCAGGGCUCAACCCUGGAAGUGCACUCGAAACUGCGAGGCUUGAGUACCGGAGAGGUUGGUGGAAUUCUCGGUGUAGAGGUGAAAUUCGUAGAUAUCGAGAGGAACACCGGUGGCGAAGGCGGCCAACUGGACGAGUACUGACGCUGAGACACGAAAGCGUGGGGAGCAAACAGG